UUGCCUUUCAACUGCCUAAAGCCGGUACCCAACCUUAUAAAUUCCAAAACUACCUCAUAAAACACCCGAGCUUCACUGAGGUGGUGCAAGAUGCUUGGUUUGAAGCCGGAAGCGUGUCUGCCAACCUUUCGUCAUUGUUGGAAGCUGAAACUCAUAAAGAGAAGUUUAAAACAAUUAAAUAGAGAGAACUACUCACAGAUCCAAGAGAGAGUGAAAGAAACUCACGGUUUGUUACAACUUGCGCAGGUACAUGCUCUUGAGGAUCCAUCACCAGAAACUUUCGCGGAGGAGCAAUCGCUGAACCAAAAAUGGCAGUUCCUAAGGCAGAUAGAGGAAUGUUACUUCAGGCAGAAAUCAAGAGUGAAUUGGCUAAAAGAAGGGGAUCUCAACACUACUUACUUUUUUAGAGUCUGUCUGAGUAGAGCAAGCUUUAAUGCGGUGAGAUCUUUCCUCCUUCUCUCAGGUGUCCUGCUUACUGACCCACUUCAGAUGAGCAAUCAUGCAGUAGAACAUUUCAAAUCUGUGCUGGGGCCUAAUCGUUUAAACAUUCUGGUGGCUUCUCCUCCUGAUUGGUUUCAACGUUUAACACCUUUCCAAUGUAGCUUGUCACAGAGUGCGACGAUCCUUCUAAUGCCCACCUCAGCUGAAAUAACCAAACUAAUGUUCUCUCUGAAUCCUAGCAAAUAACCUCUGCUUUCUUCAAAGGGGCUUGGAGUGUGGUGGGAUCCGAGGUCAUCAACUCUAUCACCAAUUUCUUCAACACCGGAUUCAUG
rnacentral:lncRNA from 1 species